AUCUGCAACAGUAUAUAAUAAAUACAGAAAUAACAUAUUCUGUUAAUGUAAAGGGCAUUUGGUAUUAAUUUUAACAUGUGAAAAUUAGUACAUUUAACUUAUCGAAAUCAGCGGAACCCAUAACAAAAAUAUACUGAUUUCCUUGGCUUGUUAUUUAAAUAGCAAUUUAAAGAUCGUUGAAUUUACUUGGACAAUCUGAGGCAAUUAUGUGGAAUUAAAUGUAUUCUUGUUUAUUCAAAGUUUCUUGUGUGCUUCGUCUGAUAGCGUUAACGGGAUUGGACAAAAUAGUGCGCGACUGUUCAAAAUAUGUAAAUAUCUUCUUGCUGAUUAAAUAUACAAUUGCAAAAUUGGAACCUAGAAAAUUGGAACCUACGGGACUCAGCUUAGCUUUAAAUUAAGAGCCCAUAUAACACUUAAUAUUUUGAUUUCUGUACCGACUCAGAUUUUGCAACAUUGUAGUAACAAUUGUUAAUUGAUUUUCCAUUUACGCGAUAAAUUUCGUUCUAAUAUUUUCACACAGCUCAACUCGACUGCUGUCGUUUAACUAAAACUGAAUUUGUCUGCGCAGACGCAAAGUGGAUAAAAAUCAGCGAACAGUUAAUUGAGCGAGAAAACAGUUAACUGACUGAGCGACAUUCAAAGGCAGAUAACGCAUAGGCAACCGCACUGAUGCUAGAUCAGUAGAUAACAUCUACGAAUAUACACACACCCAAACAUGCACAUGUGUGCGGAGAGAAUCGCCAAAUAUGUAGAGAUGUACAUGUGUAUCUGCCUGCCAAGUGCAUUAUCUGCUCAUGCAUCGCGCUCGCAUCAAUUUUUGGUGCUCUACACGUGACUUGCUUGACUUUCUGUGCGCCGAUUUUUGCGGUCUUUUGUUUGACCCCAGUUGCCAAUUGAAUGUAAUUGCAUGCUGAGAUCUGUGCACAUCCACAAUUUUUUAAUUACUGGUUGCACGAGACUAUAAUGUAUGUUAGUUAUGCAUGGUUAUAUUUUUAAACAAUUUCAAUCGUAGACCUCUUGAAAAGGUCGGAGUGUAUAGAAUUAAUUGAACCAAAAAAAUAUAUAACAUUUUUUACUACUUUUUUAAACUCACAACACAACAGCCAGUCUUGCCGCGUUGACUAGUGGGAUCAAACUAAUGCAAAAGUAAAGUUGCGCAGUUCCAAAGCGAACCGAAAAACUGGCGCUCAGAAAAAAGAGCAGCCGAACGACUAGUAGAGGAAUUUCUACACAAGCAAAGCUUAAUGGGACCAAUGAGCGAUCAGCACCAAAAAAGUAAUUAGCGCAUGAGCAUAAGUAGACAACGCACUCACACACACACACACAGGUGUCAGCUUUGGUUAUUAUCUCCCAGUUGUUUGUGUGGGUGUACUUGCUGGUCAAUGUGAUACUUCAUACUCUCGCUCGAAUUUUGAUCACUUGUUUAAUUGCUGUGCGCCGGUUUUUUCGUCCGCUCAAGGCACUCACAAUUCAUUAACUCUCUCUCUGUAAGUUUGACCCCAGUAGUCAAUAUGACAAUUCUGCAUACUUGCAAAUUGUGGAUUCCUGAAAGAAAAUAAUAAAUUAAAUAAUAUAAUGUAUGUAUAUUAUGAAGGGUUUUAUUUUCUAAGAAUUUCAAGUAAAUAAAUCGCUAAUGAUAUAUGUAUCUCUUAAA